UACGAAGGGGGCUAGCGUUGCUCGGAAUCACUGGGCGUAAAGGGUGCGUAGGCGGGGCUUUAAGUCAGGGGGGAAAUCCCGAGGCUCAACCUCGGAACUGCCUUUGAUACUGGAGAUCUUGAGUCCGGGAGAGGUGAGUGGAACUGCGAGUGUAGAGGUGAAAUUCGUAGAUAUUCGCAAGAACACCAGUGGCGAAGGCGGCUCACUGGCCCGGUACUGACGCUGAGAUACGAAAGCGUGGGGAGCAAACAGG
rnacentral:rRNA from 1 species